CGGAGGGUGCGAGCGUUGUCCGGAAUCACUGGGCGUAAAGGGCGCGUAGGUGGCCUGUGGAAGUCUGCGGUGAAAGCCCGGCGCUCAACGCCGGGUCGGCCGUGGAUACUCUCGGGCUCGAGCUUACUAGAGGCAGAUGGAAUUCCGGGUGUAGCGGUGGAAUGCGUAGAGAUCCGGAAGAACACCUGCGGCGAAGGCGGGUUGCUGGGCUGACACUGACGCUGAUGCGCGAAAGCUAGGGGAGCGAACGGGAUUAGAUACCCCGGUAGUCCUAGCCUUAAACGAUGAAUGCUUGGUGUCUGGGGUUCUAUAGUCCCCGGGUGCCGUCGCUAACGCUUUAAGCAUUCCGCCUGGGGGAGUACGGUCGCAAGACUG
rnacentral:rRNA from 1 species